UACAGAGGAGCCAAGCGUUGUCCGGAUUGACUGGGCGUAAAGCGCACGCAGGCGGAUGCGCGCGUGGGGUGUGAAAUCUGGCCGCUUAACGGCCAGGCGCCAUCCCAUACGGCGCGUCUGGAGUGAUGCAGAGGUCGGUGGAAUUGCCGGUGUAGUGGUGAAAUACGUAGAGAUUGGGAAGAACACCAGUGGCGAAGGCGGCUAUCUGGACGGUUUCUGGCGCUAAGACGCGAAAGCGUGGGGAGCAAACAGG
rnacentral:rRNA from 1 species